AUGCAGUCGAGCGGCAGCGCGGGGGCAACCCUGGCGGCGAGCGGCGAACGGGUGAGUAAUGCAUCGGAACGUGUCCCGUAAUGGGGGAUAACGCCCCGAAAGCGGCGCUAAUACCGCAUACGCUCUACGGAGGAAAGUGGGGGACCUGCAAGGGCCUCACGUUAGGGGAGCGGCCGAUGUCCGAUUAGCUAGUUGGUGGGGUAAUGGCUUACCAAGGCUUCGAUCGGUAGCUGGUCUGAGAGGAUGAUCAGCCACACUGGGACUGAGACACGGCCCAGACUCCUACGGGAGGCAGCAGUGGGGAAUUUUGGACAAUGGGGGCAACCCUGAUCCACCAAUGCCGCGUGUGUGAAGAAGGCCUUCGGGUUGUAAAGCACUUUUGUCCGGAAAGAAAACUUCCUGGUUAAUACCUGGGGAGGCUGACGGUACCGGAAGAAUAAGCACCGGCUAACUACGUGCCAGCAGCCGCGGUAAUACGUAGGGUGCGAGCGUUAAUCGGAAUUACUGGGCGUAUAGCGUGCGCAGGCGGUGAUGUAAGACCGAUG
rnacentral:rRNA from 1 species